rfam:Salmo salar isolate Sally breed double haploid chromosome ssa02, whole genome shotgun sequence.
AAUGCACCAAUUUGUAAGUCGCUCUGGAUAAGAGCGUCUGCUACAUGACUAAAA